UCAUAUUAAAUGAUAAACAUAAUUAAAAUGAACAAAAGAAAUAACCUGUUGUGUUUUAGAGAGGAAUAACUAUGUCCAUGAUGUCUGACUUUAAAGAAUUGAUGAAAAUAAAGUAUGGUGUGAGCCUCAAUGAGACAGUAACCCUUCAAUGAAAGUACACAAUCACACUUAACAAAUCAUUAAUGCAGGAAAAAAGACAACACUAUAUAGAAUUUAGACCCCC
rnacentral:lncRNA from 1 species